AUGGUAAAAUAUAACCGAUGUCUAUAUAAUGCCGGUUUACAGUGUCGGUGCAAAACUGUUAAACUCUUGAUCAUGGUCGUGCGAGUAUAUUUUGUACAUGUUUCUUAUACUAGUUUGUAUUCUUAUACCACAGCAUGUAGCUUGUACAUUGUUAUUUCUUCAUUUUUUUUUGCUCUAGUUAAGUUCCUUUCUAAGUUGCACAGGAAAUUAUGUUUUAUGAUUCCAGGUUUCUAUGAACUUCAAUUGUAA